rnacentral:rRNA from 1 species
UACGUAGGGCGCAAGCGUUGUCCGGAAUUAUUGGGCGUAAAGAGCUCGUAGGCGGCUUGUUGCGUCGGAUGUGAAAGCCCGGGGCUUAACCCCGGGUCUGCAUUCGAUACGGGCAGGCUAGAGUUCGGUAGGGGAGAUCGGAAUUCCUGGUGUAGCGGUGAAAUGCGCAGAUAUCAGGAGGAACACCGGUGGCGAAGGCGGAUCUCUGGGCCGAUACUGACGCUGAGGAGCGAAAGCGUGGGGAGCAAACGGG